rnacentral:rRNA from 1 species
AGCGAACGCUGGCGGCAGGCCUAAAACAUGCAAGUCGAACGCCCGUAGCAAUACGGGAGUGGCAGACGGGUGAGUAACACGUGGGAACGUGCCCUUUGGUUCGGAACAACACAGGGAAACUUGUGCUAAUACCGGAUAAGCCCUUACGGGGAAAGAUUUAUCGCCAGAGGAUCGGCCCGCGUCUGAUUAGCUAGUUGGUGAGGUAACGGCUCACCAAGGCUACGAUCAGUAGCUGGUCUGAGAGGAUGAUCAGCCACACUGGCACUGCGACACGGGCCAGACUCCUACGGGAGGCAGCAGUAAGGAAUAUUGCGCAAUGGCGAAAGCCUGACGCAGCGACGCCGCGUGGGGGAUGAAGGUCUUCGGAUUGUAAACCCCUUUCGGGAGGGAAGAUGGAAUGGGGGUAACCCAAUUCGGACGGUACCUCCAGAAGCAGCCACGGCUAACUUCGUGCCAGCCGCCGCCGUAAC